rnacentral:lncRNA from 1 species
GCUCUGGCCUCUUGUCACUGUUUCCUCACCUUUGUCAGGAGCACUGUGCAGGUGGCGCAGCCAUGUCUUUCCUGCCUCACGUGGCAGCCCCUGGGUUGGAGUCACUCACCCAGUUGGUCCAGGUGGGGCUAUGCGCCUUUUCCUUUGUACUGAGAACAUCACAUGCAUUCCUGACCGUUCCUUCCUCAUGUCUCUAGACUGCAGGGGCCCUCGGUCCAGUCCGGCCCUCGUUCCCAAAGGCGCCGGCACCAGCGGCAUCACAGGAGGAGCUGCCCCCCCAGAAGCCCCCAACGCUUCCACUCAAUCAGAGCUAGUCCCAGGAGGAGACAAGCCCCAGGGAAACAGAGAGCUGCAAGUGGAGAACGGGGCCCGGCCCCACCCGCCUCUCCUGUCUCCAGCAUCACGUCACGUGUGGCCUGAAGCCUGGACGCCCCUCCUCACGACUCAUGUGCUUGCAAAGUCCUGGGCGAAAGUGGGGACCAGACAGGCUGGACUCUGGUGGUUUCUCCAGGCCCUGGGACACUUGUUCAGGGAAGACCGUCCUGACCUGGGGGCGGUGCUGGUGGGCUGUCAUGGCAGCUGCACUCAGGUAGCCAUCUGGGGACAGGACUACUUGUGUGGGUGUGUUUGGAGCUGGGUCCAGUUUACAGAGUUUUCAUGUUGCCUUUGUGAUGACUUCUGUCGGUGGUGAAUGUAUUGUACAUACAGUGGGAGGGCGGGUGAUGAGGAUAGAGUCUGGCCGGUGGGCCCGCAGCCCUGCCGACCCCUGUGUUUACAGCCCUUUCCCACUCACUCUUGGGGGGCUGCAGGAGGGGCACACCUGGCCGCUGCUGUUCCUCUGACGGCUCUUGCCCUCGGGCAGCCGCCUCACCUGGCACCCCCUGCCUGGCACCCAGGUCAUGGUCUGAGAUAGCAGUGCCCCUCCUGGCUGGCCAGCUGCCCGCCAGAUAGGUGUAAACCAGUAUCAGGAGCAUUUGCUCGUUGGAAGGUGCAGUGACGCGUCCCGUCACAGACCUGCCGGGACUGUGGUCUGGAAGGCGUCACAAGCUUCCUGCACGAAUCCCAGUUUGUGGCAGUGACUACUCAG